GCCCGGGUGGUCUAACUGGCAAUGAUUCGCGUUUUGGGGACUUGUCCCUACUUAAGAGUCUCGCGAGGUUCCGCGUUCGAAUCGCGGCUUGGGCC